rnacentral:rRNA from 1 species
UACGUAGGGUCCGAGCGUUGUCCGGAAUUAUUGGGCGUAAAGAGCUCGUAGGCGGCCUGUCGCGUCUGCUGUGAAAGUCCGGGGCUUAACUCCGGGUGUGCAGUGGAUACGGGCAGGCUUGAGGUAGGUAGGGGAGACUGGAAUUCCUGGUGUAGCGGUGAAAUGCGCAGAUAUCAGGAGGAACACCGGUGGCGAAGGCGGGUCUCUGGGCCUUACCUGACGCUGAGGAGCGAAAGCGUGGGGAGCGAACAGGAUUAGAAACCCCCGUAGUCC